rnacentral:rRNA from 1 species
AUUGAACGCUGGCGGCAGGCCUAACACAUGCAAGUCGAGCGGAGCGGCGGACGGGUGAGUAAUGCCUAGGCAUAUGCCUGUUAGUGGGGGAUAACGACCGGAAACGGGCGCUAAUACAGCAUACUCUCAGAUAAGCCUAGGUCGGAUUAGCGAGUUGGUGGGGUAAAGGCCUACCAAUGCGACGAUCCGUAACUGGACUGAGAGGAUGAGCAGUCACACUGGAACUGAGACACGGUCCAGACUCCUACGGUAGGCAGCAGUGGGGAAUAUUGGGCAAUGGGCGAAAGCCUGAUCCAGCCAUGCCGCGUGUAUGAAGAAGGUCUUCGGAUUGUAAAGCUCUUUCAGUUGGGAGGCGUUACCAACAGAAUAAGCACCGGCUAACUUCGUGCCAGCAGCCGCGGUAAUAC